UAUUGUUAUAUUUUUCAGUUAAUCAAUGUAAUUUCUCAAUUAAGUAUUAUUUUUUAUUUUUAAAUUAAUUAAUAUAAAUUCUCAUUAUUAACCAAAGGGUACAUUCUUAAUUAAAAACAAAAAUUUUGUAGAUUAAUCAUAGUAAAUUUAACGUACAUUCUCAAUUAAAUCUUUUACUUAUUAUAUCAAGUAAAAAAAUUAAUUGACUAAAAUACAUUUUUUAUUAAUUAGGUUUAAUUAUUUUGGAGGUUCUUAUUUGUGCAGAAUCGUCUCAAAUAAAUUCUCGUAUUUUUUAUCCCAAUUAGGUCCCCUUUUUUUGUAAAAUUAAGUCAAUUUUGACCUUAGCGUUAAAUUCAGUGGACAACGUUAAAAUUUGUGUCUUGGAUUGUUGACUGUGCAAUUUUUAAUGACGUGGUCUCAUUACGUGUAAUUUACAAAUGAAAAAGCAAAAGAUUAAAAUGACCAGGAUUGACCAGCUUUGACCAAAUGGACGUAGUCGAUGAGGGACUGCCAUGUGGCAACCCCUUUUCUCCCAAAUUAGGGUUCUGCAGAUGAGGCAAAGGAGCUUGCGUCGCACCGCACACGAAGGAGAAUGAAGACGCUGGAAAUUCCUCCCGUGGUGAUGUUGGUGCUUCUUACAGGUUCGAUUUGGGAUUUUACACAAGCAAAAAGAAUCAUUGGCUGAUGGAAGAUGAAGGCGCUACGGUUUCUGUGAUUUUGGGAAUGCUUUGCAAGUUUUGGAUUGUUGUUGGUGGUGAGGCGUGUUAGGAGUAUAUAACUCAAGUCAUUCGAUCUUUCGCUCGUUCUUUCUCUCACACCGUUCGGUCACUCACACCAUUUGGUCGCUCACUUCAUUCAUGCACUCCCUCGGUCUCGGUCACACCGUUGGUUCAAUUUCUCUUCUCUACCUUCCUAACAAGGCGCAAGAACGAAGAUAGGUUGAUGAAAGCAGGAGGGAGAUGGUGGUUUUGCCCUGGCUACUGGCGGCGCAGUUUUCUGUUGGGUUUCCCUGUGUUUGAUUCGCAAGUGGUGAUGGAUGAAGCUUUGUGAUGGUGCGUCAAUGGAGGAAGCUUCGCGUUUUUGGGUUGGUUAUGGAGGAGAUUGCGACGCGAUUUGGGGCUGGUUUUUGAUGGCUAGCUGUGAGCAUGGGCGACACAAUUUGGGUUUGCUGGACGGAAGUGACAGUUAGGCAGUGGCGGCAAGAUGUUGAUGUGAUGGUGUUGUGUUGGCGUUAGGUGGUUGAGGACUUGUGGUGGUCGAUUCUGCAUCUGGGACUGGGCAGUUUGGGUGGUGUGAUGGCGAGGUUGGUGGUGGCCUUGGGUUACUCAUGGUGUUAGUUGGUCAAUCCAUGGAGUUCAAAAUUUAAAAUAAUUAAAUUUCACGUAACUCUUCCACGUCAUUAAAAAUUGUGCAGUCACCAAGUUAAGACACACAAAUUUUAACGUCGUCACUGAAUUUAACGGCAAGGUCAAAAUUGACUAAAUUUUACAGAAAAAUUGACAUAAUUGGGAUCAAACAAAAUACAAAGACUUAUUUAAGACGAUUCUGCACAAUUAGGGACCUC
rnacentral:sRNA from 1 species